UCGAGGCCUUGCUCAUGUGGGAUCGAAAUAGCAACCGAAUUGAAGGAGACGCCAAACCCUAAUCGAAGCCAGCGAUGACGACCAUGAGGCUCCAACCCUCGUCACCGGAAUUCUCACCACCGGGACUGACCCCAGCGAAGAGGCCGAACCCCACAUCGGAUCUGGUCCUGGCAUCCUCACCGACGGACCCGAACCAAGCCAAGAAGGCGAAGCCGGACAGCACCGAUCUAUGUUCAGCAUCCCGUUUAGCCAAGUUAUUUUUGACUCCCGAAGAUCGAAAUCUCCCGCCAGACCAAUUUAGGAAGAAGAGUGUGAUGGGCUUAAUCAAAGCUAUGCUGCAUGUUUUUUUUUGUUUUUGUUUUUGUUUUGAUUGCUUGUUAAUUACGAGGAAUCAGUACAAUACAAAUAGUGUUUUAUUUGUUUGAAUUAAUGAAUGAAUUGAAGAACAGAGAACAUUAAAAAAAAAUUAAUGACAUUGAUCAAGUUUGCUCAUUUUACUGUAUGAUUAUUAUUCAGAGUUAGGGUGUAAUUAUGUGAUCAGUAUCAUAUUUGUGUAUUAAGAUUCAUUGAUCACCAACACCACUAGUUUGAUUAGGAUCAAUUAGGAUCAUGCCGCCGAUCUAACUCUGAUGUUUCUGAUUGAAUUCAUUUCAAUUGAUUUGCUUCUCAUUGAGUGUCUAUCAUAAGACAUACAUUUCGUUAUCCUGACUUUUCUAUGUCUUUCAUUCAAUACCACUGGGGUGCAAAGCUAUGAAGGAGAAAGAUCUUUAUCCUUGUACGGGGUUAAAAGAGAAGCUUCCAGAAACUUUACCAGAGGGAUAUGCAUGGGGUUAUUACGCCCCUGGGAGUGGAAUUAAAAGUUUUGUUUAUAAGAUGUUUUGCACCUAUUGUGGCGUGGGCGCAGCUCACAUGAAUGAGGACUGCCCGAAGAAGGGUACUCCAGAGGCCGCAGAGUUCAUGAAGCAACAUCUCGAUCUUUGCGGAUGAGACAAAGCCCAAGACCAAGUAAUGCAUUGUGUACUGACUUGUGUUUAGCCGUCUACUUUACUUAUUUCCCUAUAUGAAUAUAUGAUGUUAACAAUCCUAUGAUCUACCUAAGAUAUUGGGAACGUAGUUACAGUGUGCAUGUGGACUUACUAGGCCAAAAACCUAUGGUUCUUUAGCUUGUAAUAGUAUUCUGGCUCCAUCUAAUCUAAUGUGUUGUGGCAUGCAUUUGUAUCACCUUGUUUACUGAUUCAUAUUUUGUCAACUCUAGGUGGAGUGUUUGAUAUUGCCAUAUUUUUGGUAGCCUCAAAUGGCAAAACAUACAUGUUUGAACACACUGUGACACUAGACAUAUACCAAAGACUACAACCUCUAUGUAGUCAUGUUUGAUCAAAGCCAAAUUAAGCCAUAUAACUCAGUUGCGAAAAUGUUAAUUGUCGAUGAGAACUGAGACUCAGCUGUGGUGAAUUCAUGUGUUUCGCGAACAUCUAUUGCUCACUUCAGAAGAACAGGACGAGAUGACGAUUAAGGCCAUAUUGGCAAGUAUGUAUGCUCCUGAUUUAAUUUAUUUAUUUUUCAUGCUGGCAAUUUUAACUGACCAUGUUCCUCAUCCAAUUAUUAUCUGCAAGUUGAUUAGGCUUUUGUGUUUAUAUAUAUGCUUUCUAUGAGGAAUUAGUACAAUACAAUAGUGCUCAGCAUUGCAUCUGAAUUAAUGAAUGAAUUGAACAACAGAGAAUAGUCAAUAGAAUAUGAUACUGAUCAAGUUUUCCUCGUUUUGCUGUAUAAUCAUUCAGAGUUAUGUGCUAUGUAUCAUACAUGUGUAUUAAAUUUGUGACUUCAAUGAUCCCAACACCACUACUUUGCUUAAUUAGGAUCAUGCUGUCGUUAACUCUGAUGUUUCUGAUUUGCUCCUCCUUGAGUCAUUAUCGUCUCAUUAAACAUCCAUGUCAUUGACAUGACUUUUCCAUGUCUUUUAACUCUUUUUUGUUUCUUUUUUUUUUGGCUGGGUGCAGGGGAGGAGGCUCGUGGGGAAGUAGUAAGGUCAGGCUUACCACCACCAUAUCGUCCAGAAACUUUACCUAAGGGAUAUGCAUGGGGUUCUUACAUCGCUUGGAGUGGAGAGAAAGAUUUUGCUUAUCUGAUGACUUGCGGUAACUGUGGCAAGGAUGGUUGUCACAUGACUCUUGACUGCCCAGAUGGGGAUACUGAAGAGGCUAAGGAGUUUAGGAGGCUGAUCGCUUCCAGCCUCAGAGGCCUCUAGCUCUUCUAAUCAUGAGAAAAGCCCGAGAACAAGUAAUGUGCUGUGUGUAUGAGUCGUGUUUUAACCGUCUAAUCUACUUGUUAUCUAUCCUAUGAUCGACCCAAGUCUUCUGGAUAUUGGGAACUUAGUAGUAUUGUGCUUGUGAACUAGGCUAAAAACCUAUGGUUGUUUCUAAGUCGUGGAAGUAUUAUGGCUCCAUCUAAUGUAAUAUGUGUUGUGGUAUGCAUUUUAUUACCUUGUUUAGUGAACUAGCUCUUUGAUCGACUCUUGGUGGAGUGUUUGAAAUUGCCAUAUUUUCUAUAGAAACCAGGCUCUGGCACCAAACAGAAACCGGGCUCUGGCACCAAACUGAUGGGAGAUUGUUUCGAACACAGGCCUCCGACACUACCUCUUAACACCAGAAACAAGAAGAUCAAGAACAAACAAAUACUUGCAGCCAAAGCUACGUUUAUUUCACAUCAUUCGAUGAAUAAUAAGGUCUUGCAAACGAUAACUUAUAAAGGAAACAACUCCACUUAUUCUAGGAAGGAAAUACCAGAAGAUAUGCAUAUCUGAUUCGAAUCAAACUAGGAGAUUACUCCCUUAUAUAGUCCUGCAAAUAAGGAGGGACUCGGGUUGCUCUCUUGGGCCUUCUUUCUCUAAGUCGGUAGAUACACCCGUAUCACUAAGAUUUGUUCCGGUGACGUUGGCCAUUAAGAAAAUCCUGGGAGUUGUGAUGAGCAAUUUUCUGAGCUUUUGGAAGUACCGGUCGAGUAUUUGAAAGCAGUUAAAUGGAGGUUGGUUGUUGAAUCAGAAGAAAAUAAAUUUGUGCAGGGCACGGAAAGAGAGUUUGAAUCCCGAGGGCCACAUCGAGCCGCUGUUCCAGACCAUCAGAAUGUUGAGCAACCAGUCCAGAGAGAGAUUCAAAAGAAUGUUCAAACAGAUGAUGGAGGCCGAUGGGACAGGACUCAUCCUGAUCGUAAGCACUUAUUACAUAUUUUAGUUUUUAUAUAUGCAAUGACAUGUUUUGAUCGUAAGCACUAAUUCAUGUUUUUAUAUUGCAGACGUCGAUUUAAACUUUGAGACCUGAAGAGGAUCUGUGGUCUGUGGACAACCUGUCAACCUACAUAUAAUCAAAUCCUUCUGAACAACAACAGUGAUAUGAUAUGGUAAUCAGAGUAUAAGACUAUACCUUCUCCUAAACCUAAGUAGUAGGUUGCUAUCUGUACAUCUUAGUGUCCAAAAUCUCGCAGAAAUGCAGUGUUAAAAUUAGAUCCAAGUAGAUACCCAUAACUCCCCUACGUGUAUGGUAGUGUCGAAUCCGGGUUGUGGAAGGAAAUUGUUGGGAAGUUGUGUUAGCAAGCAAUGAAAGAAUGUAGGUUUGUUGGGAAAUUGAUCGAUCUUGCACUUUUAUUUGAACCAUUUACUUCUGUUUGCGUUUAUCAAAUUUGAUUCUGGAUCACAGUUGCUCAUAGGCUUUCAACAAUAAUAAUCUCAGAUAUCAUUAUUGUCAUGGACAAAGGUGAGAUUGUGGAGAUGGGUUCCCACUCAAUCCUAGUAACAGCCUCUGAAGGAGUUUAACCCUAAACCGCGGAAGAGGCUGAACCCCACAUCCCCACCAUCGGACCUGGUGCCCCCAUCCCCAGCCAAGAAGUCGAGGCCGAACAGCCCGGAGAAAGAUGAUUCUCAGAUGUCAGAUGCUGUUUUAGCCGCAGUAAAAGAUGGUUCUGGGAUCUCAGAUGCUCUUUUAGCCGAACUAGGCUGCACUCGCGAAUAUCUAUUGCUCACUUCACGAGAACGGGCCGAGAUGACGAUUAAGGCCAUAUUGGCAAGGGAGGAGGCUCGUGGGGAAGUAACUGUAAGGUCAGGCUCACCACCACCCUAUCGUCCAGAAACUUUACCUAUGAAGGUAUAAGGAUAGUUGGUAAUCCUUUUAUCCUGUUUUUCACAGAGGUUAGCAGCUUCGCUUGCUAUCCUAUUACUAAGUUUUUUGCUGUCCUGAGUUUCAAAGUCUGUUAUAUUAGUUUAAUAGGUAUUUUUUAAAUUCAAAUGGACAACUGAGUUUGUGGGAAGUGCCUUGGUGCUCAAACCAGUCUAAGGGUUGAGAUCUUUUGUUAUGCCAACCCGUGACCAAAUGGUUUGAUGCUCAAGGCUCCAGCUUAGAUUUUAUGAUACAUUAUCCAAUACAAAGCUGGUCCCUGUGUGAUUCAAAGACCAGUCGCUAUUGGCUGUGUCAAGGUCUACUAAUGGACUGAGUAAGAGGGUUUGAAACCUCUUUGCUCCCUGUUUUGAAUCGUUCAUGUUUUAGGAAAGGGUUCUUUGUCUUAUUGAGAUUGCUUGUGUCAUCUUUGUGUUUGGACACAUCCCUUUCAGUAUGGGAGCCAAACACUUAUGUCUAAACCUUUCUGAAACAUGUUGAGGUCAGCUUGGAUCAACUUUGAUGCCUUGUCUGCCUAUAUAUAUCUAUAGCUUUGGCUUUGCUCAAUGGUUGUUGAAAACUGCCUUAUUGCGUUUUAUUUGUUGAGUCUAGUUUUAGCUUGCAUUGUUUAUGUUGUUCUAAGUCUUCUUUAUGACUGUAAACUUUAGAGCUUGAACUCAAAACUUCUUUCAUCAACUCAUAUCAUGUUGCAUACCAUGAGGGAUGUGUAGUGCAACCAACCCAAGAAGCAUUCAAGGUUGAAUCAGCUAGUGGUUAGUUGAAUUCACGAACAAGGCUUCUGAAAGUGUUCCAUGUUGUAAGAGCUUAGAAACAAGAGAGGGAAUAGGUCUAGACUAGUUCGGGACUAGGAAGGAUAACAUUGUGGUAGUGUAUCACUAGAACUAUUAUUCUUGUAAGAAGUUACUUCAACUUAGUGGAAAUUUUUGUCUCUCAAGAAUUAGAGAUACACAGUUUUUCUCUCUGCAUUCAGGGUUUCUGCGAGUAAAAUUCAUCCUUGUGUUGUUUCUUUAUUUGCUGCAAUUUACUUUUUGCAAACUCGUAUCCUGUGAAUCUGAGAUAGCACAAGUGAUUGCUAUCCUCAGAUACAGAAGUAAACGAAAAUUCGAAAAAAGGCCUAUUCAUCCCCCCCCUAGGGCCUUUAACCUAAGAGAUAUGCAUGGGGUUCUUACAUCGGUUGGAGUGGAAAGAAAGAUUUUGCUUAUCUGAUGACUUGCGGUAAUUGUGGCCAGGAUGGUCUUCACAAGACUCUUGACUGCCCAGAUAAGGAUACUGAAGAGGCCAAGGAGUUCAGGAGGCUGAGCACUUCCAGACUCAGAGGCCUCUAGCUCUUCUAAUCAUGAGACAAAGCCCGAGAACAAGUAAUGUACUGUGUGUAUGAGUCAUGUUUUAACGUUGUAAUCUACUUAUUUCCCUAUAUUUAUGAAUACCGUAUGUGAUGUUAUCUAUCCUAUGAUCGACCAAAGUUGAACUUCUGGAUAUUGGCAACUUAUUAGUUACAGUCUUGUGCUUGUGAACUAGGCUAAAAACCUAUGUUUUUUUUUUAAACUCGUGAGAGCAUUCUGGAUCCAUCUAAUGUAAUAUGUGUUGUGACAUGUAUUAUAUUACCUUCUUAAGUGAAAAAAAAAAAAAAAUAAUUGAUCAAGACGGUAGAUAGUGCUUUGUUUCGUGAACUCUAGAGGACCCUGUUUAACAUUAAGACUAAUGUCAGUGGCUAUGCUGUUGUUAGAUUUGAAAUCAGUGCAUAGUAAAAGAGAAUAACUAUGAUGGCGGUUCUUCUCUUGUAUACUGAAUUUGAAACUGAGAACAAGUUUAUUCUGGUACAUACUCAGGGUGAUUCUUGUUGGUUUUACUGGGACCUAUGGUGAUUGAUUGGAAAUGACAACGGUUUAUCGAGGAACCGAGACCUCUAAUAACACAAGGUUAUUAAAUAGAAUUCUUGAUGAUCUUUAUUGAAUGAAUUCCCUCAUCUUAAAUAGAUGGGUGUACAACUGACUUUCCAAAUAACAAGGACACUGCCCACCUAAACUACCACUAAGGAUAAGGCUAAUCCCAUUAUCCUUGUACUUAGGAAACAACAAAACAAACUCAACGUUAACUAAGAACAAUAAACAUUGACCAGUUCAUAACAUAUUCAUUUAUCAGUAUAUAGGAAAUUAUUUUGCAACUUCCAUACUAUUACAUCAAGUAUAUACGCCGGCCUAAGGCUGUUCUAAGUUCCCUUGGUAUGAAAUAUGUUACUCUUCUGUCAUGCUUUGUAUCUGAUAUAAUCUUGAAUAAACUCCCUGAGAGGCUGUUAUAAGGGUUGAGUGGGAACCCGACUCGACAAUCUCACCUUUGUCCAUGACAAUGAUGAUAUCUGAGUUUAUUUAUUAUUGUAGCCUAUGUGCAACUGUAAUCUGUUUGGUUUUGGACAGCAGGCCUCCUUUGUUUUUCAAAUUUAUCGCUUCCAAUGCGCUCACCACAGAUUUUUCGGAUUCAGCAUCAAGGGCACUUGCUGCUUCAUCCAGAAGCAAGAUUGCAGGCCUCUUUAGCAAUGUUCUAGCUAUGGCUAUUCUUUGCUUUUGUCCUCCUGAAAGUUGGCAUCCCUUCUCCCCAACAAGUGUUUGAUAUCCAUCAGGAAAUUACUUAUGAACUCAUCAAUGUUUGCUUCCCUUGAUACCUCUACAAUCUCAGUUUCAGAAGCACUUUCAUUCCCAUAGCAGAUAUUCUCUGAUUGAGGAGCUAAAAAGUAGAGGCUCUUAUUGCACCAACCCUAUUUGUGUUGUCAGCCAUCUCAAGUUGUACUCCCUUAUCUCCUUUCCAUCAAUGAGUAUCUUACCUUUCAAGGGAUCAUAAAAUCUUAGCAGCAGGGCCAGAACUGAAGAUUUACCAGCUCCACUUGGACCGACAAGAGCCACCUUUGUUCCAGCUUUAAUUUGGACAGUGAAGUUGUUCAGGAUAGUUACUCCUGGUCUCAAAGGGUAAUUAAACUCAACAUUUUGAAAUUCAAUAUUCCCUUUGAUUCUCUCCUGAUUUGAAGUUUCCGGUGUACAUGGAUCUAUUUCAGUUUUGCGGUCAAGGGUCUCGAAUGCAGGAGUAAGCACAUUGAUGGCAGAAAUGACGGUGGGAAUCAAUGUCCACAAUUCUGUGACUGAAGGUACUGUGAGAGAGAAAAUCUGGUAUGAUCUUAUGCCAUUUUUGAAGCUCGAUUGAUUCUUGUGAACUAAAACUGUUGUGUACCACAAUGCCACAGCAUGUGCAAUGUUCCAUAAGCAAAGAGAAACUCCCUGGAUUAUGCCAAACUUAAUACUUUGUCUCAUGCUCCUUUUCUUGGGGGUUUCUAGAGAUAUUUCGGCCUUUUUGAGUAUAUGAUCUUCAUGGAAAAACUGUUGGGGUAUCUCUGUAACUCACCUCCUCUGAUCCAAGCUUGCUGCACUCUUAUACAACUGCUCUUCACACUUCAAUCAGGUACGUUGCCUUGAUCUUGAUCUCCUGCACUCAAUCACACACACACCGCUAUAUAUUUGAUACAGAGAUGAUAGUAGAAUCAAAUAGAUACAAAGAGAAUUGAUGAAAUGGGCUGGAGCUGUUACUCUCAGUCCUCUUCUUUCAUAUAUUUUUCUGAUGUUGUUUUUUUGUAAUGCAAAGAUAGCAGAUCUGAUACUGUUAUAUCAGUUCACUGUAUAUGUCUUCUUAGACACACUACCUUGUGCACAAAAGUCAAAGAUUAACUAAAGUUUAUUUUAACUAGAGUUAACCAAACUAGCAUAAGGUUAAGAAAGUAACUAAGCAUUAACUUUAACAAAAACGAUGCAACGGUUCUUAUGUUUUGUGCAGACUCAGAAAAGCAAGAGAAACAAGUUCAUUAUGUGCAGCAGCUGAGUCUCCUGCAAAACCCUUUGCAGACUUGGCUUGAAUGAGACCACCAAUGAAGUGGCAAGGCAUCACAGCCCAAGCUACCAACCCCAUUCUCCAGUUGACAUACAUGCUCACAACGGUUGCAAUCAGUAUGGAGGAAAUGCACUGGACAAGGACAGACAUCCGGUCAGCAAUUACCACUUUGACCAUUGAAGUAUCAUUGAUGAUCGUUGAGGUGAGCUGUCCAAUGCCAUUCUCAGGUUAGUGAUUAUGUGAAAUUGAAUUGCAGGCAUGCGAAUAGUCACUUUGAGGUUGAAGAUGAGCAACUGGCUUUGGACUUGGAGUUUGCCCAGCAACUUGCUUUUGCACCUUAUUCUCCACCAUCCAUGCAUGGUACUUGUUAGUUUUGCUUUCUAAUUUAGUUUUCUUCUGUAUUGCUUGAUGUGUUCAUAGCUUAAGAAAAGAGUGAUGUGGUAAAGUUUUAUGCUUGUGGUGAUUAUUUGAAUUUUUGUGUUGAUAGAUUAGAUUCUCAUAUGUUAAUACACAAGUAUGAAUUGGGUCUUAGAAUGAUUGUAUUUGAUGUUUUGGGUUUUGUUUUUAAUGAGAAAGGAUGGAUUUUUCGUAGAUUUUGCGGAGGAACUUACAUGUUAAUCUUAUGUUGUUCUUUGAUAAUGGAGAUUGAAGUUUAGUCCAGUAACUUUGUAGUUUCAUAUGUAUAUAUGUGCAGAAUAAUCAAACAACUAGAGAGUUGCCAUUUGCGAGAUGUGAUGGACAAUGUAGCAUGGAGGAAAGUGUCUCCUGCCUGGUUGCUUUACAGACUAGGACCACUUUCCAUGAGAUUGAAGGUGGCGUGAUGGCACUGCUGAGAGAGUGUUUGGAGUUGGAACCUAGAAAUACGACUACUAUUUUGUGUGGUUAUACUGAUCAUGUUCAGAGCAUUCGAUCCAAGGAUUCUGGGUGGGGUUGUGGGUGGCGUAACAUUCAAAUGCUUAGCUCACAUUUGCUUAUGCAAAGGCAAGAGACUCGAGAUGUUUUGUUUGGUGGUGCAGGAUUUGUUCCUGAUAUCCCAUCACUCCAAACUUGAGAUUGCUUGGGAAAAGGGAUUUGAUGCAGCUGGGUCUGAUCAGUUUGCUAACAAAAUUUAUGGCUUGAGAAGAUGGAUUGGAACAACUGAAUGUGCUGCCCUUUUCCUUUCUUUUGGGCUGCGAGCAAGGAUAGUGGAUUUUGGUCCCAAGGAACUCGAACCAUAUUAUCUCUCUCUUCCUGGGUUCAAGGUCUUGGGGAAGAGGUCAAGAGAAUACAUAAUGGUGGAAAGAGGAAAGCAAUUCAGGUUUGUGGACCAAUGGAUAGAUAUUUGCCGGAAAGGAGUCAUGAUAUUAACCAAGCGAGUCCCAGUUGCCAUGAAAAGUCGAGUUGUUCUACUAGCCAGAAAGGUGACUCUUGGUGUAGGAAAAGUCAUUAUAAUUCCGGAAAUAAAUUUUUCAGGAAAAGCAAGGGUCAUCAGGUUCUCAUGGAUUGGAUCUGGAAUUACUUUAAUGAUGGUAACGUUACCAGAACCGGCAACCACCGGGUGAUUGUUAGUGACAAAACGUAAGUUUCUCUAUCCCACGAAUUUAUUGUUUGAACAUCAAAUGACAUUUAAAGGAUCACCUUUUAUGUUGUGUCCUAAUUCAUAGAGGUUCUUUGAGCAGACCCUUGUACUUCCAACAUGAUGGGCAUUCGAGAACCAUUGUUGGGAUUCAAGUCAAAAAUCAACAAAACGGGAUGCAGCAACACACUCUUAAUUUUGGACCCUGGUCAUGUAAUUCUCUGUCCUUUAUGAAAUCUGUGUGGCAUCUUACCUUUAGCAUUUAUGUUUUAAAUUUGAUUACUAAACAUCUUAAUCCCUUUCGACUUGUCUGCAACAUGAUUACAGAGAACAGCAGAGAUGGAAAGAUCACUCAAGGAAAAGAGAGGAUGGCAGAAGUUUGCUAUUGGAACAUAACAGUUUGCUUUGGUUGUAUUGUUUUUUUAGGAUCGGGACUGAUGCAAUGAUUUUGUUUCAGCUGUGUUAUAUUGAUCCUGGCAUUGCAAGUGGAGAUGAAGUGGAGUUGCUCAAGACUGUAGAUAGUGUUUUUCUUGAGCUCUAAAGGACCCUGUUCAACAUUAUGACUUCUAAGUGGCUAUGCUACUGUUUCAAAUGCAUAGUAAAAGAGAAUUUGGAUAUCUGAAGAAUGAAAGUUCACUGUUCUAAGGCUUCUUGCCCUCCCUUAAGGAGAAUGUUUAGAGAAGCUCGUGCAGAAGAUUGUGCGCUCUUCUUGACCAAUGAUCUUGACUGCUGAGGGUUAAACCAGUGGAAAUGCUUCACUGAAUCACUGAUCAAGGAUUUUGUAUGUGCAAGAGGAACAGAAAGUUGGGGAAUCACUCCUAUUCUAUUCUUCAACUUCUAUGAAGCUAUGAUCUUCUGUCAGCUCUUUAAUCCGGGGUGUCUUGGUUAAAUUAUGUGAGCUACCAUAAUUUACUUUGAUGCGAGUUUAUUCUCUUGCAUACUGUCUUUGUAACUGUGAACAACUUUGCUCAUUUAUCAAUAUAUCGAAAAUGCAUUGCUACUUCGUUCUUCUACCCAACAGUUUAUGCUGUCAUUAACCUUGUGCCACCUCUAUUUUGGUGACAAACUACUACCAUACUAAUACAUUCAAAACCCUUGGAGACAUAUGCCUGAGGCUGUUUAAAGUUCCCUUGCUGUUUGCACACUUCAAAGAUAACAGUAUGCGAUAUGUUACUUUUCUGUCAUGCUCUGUAUAUGAUAUAAUCUUGAAUAAACUCCCUCAGAGGCUGUUACUAGGAUUGUUGAAAGCCUAUGAGCAACUGUGAUCCAGAAUCAAAUUUGAUAAACGCAAACAAAAGUAAAUGGUUCAUCAUCGAAAUAAAAACACUCAUCAUCGAAAAAAAGAGUAAAUGGUUCAAAUAAAAGUGCAAGAUCGAUCAAUUUCCCAACAAACCUACAUUCUUUCAUUGCUUGCUAACACAACUUCCCAACAACUUGCUAGGAGGAAUAAGAAAAUAAAGUCAAAGCAUAAUCAAACAUUUGACUCUGCAAAUUAAGCAUUAGCUUUGUUCCUACAUAUUUCAUUUCAACAUUAGGAUAUUUUACUUUUUAUGUUUUCAUUAGGAUUUGUUUUAUUUAGAAUAAAGGAUUUCUAGUCCUAAUCAGGAUUUAGUUCCUAGUUAUAGUAUGAAUAGGUUUAUUUCUAUGCCUAUAUAAGGCACUUGCUAGAUUGUAUUUUCAUAUCAAUAAGAAAAUAUUAGGGUUACGCUUACGUAUCAUAAAGCCAGCCAUGAGCCUAAGCCCCAAAUCCUCGCCACCGGAACUGACACCCACAUCCUCAAGACCAUCCCCAGCCAAGAAGUCAAGGCCGAACAGCCCGGAGAAAGAUGAUUCUCAGAUGUCAGAUGCUGUUUUAGCCGCAGUGAAAGAUGAUUCUUGGAUCUCAGAUGCUCUUUUAGCCGAACUAGGCUGCACUCGCGAAUAUCUAUUGCUCACUUCAGAAGAACGGGACGAGAUGACGAUUAAGGCCAUGUUGGCAAGGGAGGAGGCUCGUGGGGAAGUAGUAAGGUCAGGCUUACCACCACCAUAUCGUCCAGAAACUUUACCUAAGGGAUAUGCAUGGGGUUCUUACAUCGCUUGGAGUGGAGAGAAAGAUUUUGCUUAUCUGAUGACUUGCGGUAACUGUGGCAAGGAUGGUUGUCACAUGACUCUUGACUGCCCAGAUGGGGAUACUGAAGAGGCUAAGGAGUUUAGGAGGCUGAUCGCUUCCAGCCUCAGAGGCCUCUAGCUCUUCUAAUCAUGAGAAAAGCCCGAGAACAAGUAAUGUGCUGUGUGUAUGAGUCGUGUUUUAACCGUCUAAUCUACUUGUUAUCUAUCCUAUGAUCGACCCAAGUCUUCUGGAUAUUGGGAACUUAGUAGUAUUGUGCUUGUGAACUAGGCUAAAAACCUAUGGUUGUUUCUAAGUCGUGGAAGUAUUAUGGCUCCAUCUAAUGUAAUAUGUGUUGUGGUAUGCAUUGUAUUACCUUGUUUAGUGAACUAGCUCUUUGAUCGACUCUUGGUGGAGUGUUUGAAAUUGCCAUAUUUUCUAUAGAAACCAGGCUCUGGCACCAAACAGAAACCGGGCUCUGGCACCAAACUGAUGGGAGAUUGUUUCGAACACAGGCCUCCGACACUACCUCUUUCCAGAAACAAGAAGAUCAAGAACAAACAAAUACUUGCAGCUAAAGUUACGUUUAUUUCAUAUCAUUCGAUAUCAUUCGAUGAAUAAUAAGGUCUUACAAACAAUAACUUAUAAAGGAAACAACUCCACUUAUUCUAGGAAGGAAAUACUAGAAGAUAUGCAUAUCUGAUUCGAAUCAAACUAGGAGAUUACUCCCUAAUAUAGUCCUGCAAAUAAGGAGGAGCUCGGGUUGCUCUCUUGGGCCUUGCUUUCUCUAAGUCGGGAGAUACACCCGUAUCAAUAAGAUUAGUUCCGGUGACGUUGGCCAUCAAGAAAAUCCUGGGAGUUGUGAUGAGCAAUUUUCUGAGCUUUUGGAAGUACCGGUCGAGUAUUUGAAAGCAGUUAAAUGGAGGUUGGUUGUUGAAUCAGAAGGAAAUAGUUUGAAAGCAGUUAAAUGGAGGUUGGUAUACGAAAUUUCAAACGACAAUAUGAGGAAGACAUUGCUACAUGAUUGGUUAAUUAGCAUUGUAAGGUGAAUUAGUAUAGAUUAGAUGACACAUUUCUUAAAAUUUAAUUCGAUGAAUAUUUCCAAUCUUUUUCUUAAACAAGAUGAAUUUUGUUAUUCUUAAUACUUUACUACUUCUCAUAAAUAACAUUUUUAGUUUUUGUAAAUAGAACACUAGUAAUUUACUAAAAUAUUAACCAUAUGUAACGAAAAACAUGUGAUUUUUGUCAAAAAUUAGUGAGAUUAUAAAGGUCCAAUCUCAUGGGAAUCUACACUCCUAGAUUUUCUCCAACUUGAACUUUUUUGGUCGAAAGCUCAUUUUUCAUCGGAAACCGUGAGUUAUAUAUAGCACACGUUUUUUUGGUUGAAAACGCAUGUUCUUUUUUUCAUUAAUUUUUUUACACUGUUAGGUUCUAAUUUUUUAGUACUUCUCGAACUAACAGAACUAAAAAAAUCUCGAGUCGAUUUUUUUAUAUGAUUUUUCAAAGUCAUUAUUAAGAAUGAGGUGGAAAGAAUGUGAAAUAUUGGUCAUACGUAACGGAAAAAUGUGAUUUUGCUAAAAACUAGUGUGGUUAUGAAGGUCCAACAUCANNNNNNNNNNNNNNNNNNNNUCAAAAACUCGUUUUUCAUCCGAAACUGUGGGAUAUAGCACACUUUUUUUGUUGUUGUUGAAAACGCAUGGUCUUAUUUUUCACAAAUUUUUCUACACAUUAAAGUUAUGAUUUUUUAACAUUUCACGAACUGACAGAACUAAAAAAAAAUCUCUAGCCGAUUUUUUUAUAUGAUUACUUAUUCAAAUGUACAUCACUAUAAACUUUUCUGAAGCAGGCCAUAAAAGUCUAGUACACUAAAUUAGUAUUAUAACUGUACCUACUCUAAACUUUCAGUGAUGAUAUAUACAAUGUUAGUCUUCCAGUCAGAGCAUUCAAAGGAAAAUGUAUGUUCAAUUCAAAGCUUCCUCACAAAGUUUAACUAAUCAGGGUUUAUUAUGCCUCCUCUUUGGUGAGCACCCUCAUUCCACUCUUUGAGAUUAGAAGGGCUAGGUCUUUCAUUUCUCUGUAACUUCUAAGCUCUUCCAGGGCAUCAGAUGUCUUUCGAGGCAUAAAGAAACCGGAAGCUGUGGACACUCCUUCCUCAUGCUCAGGCUUCAUGGAGUGAGAAGAGUAACAACUUGAAUUUUGGCGCAGGGGCGGAGCUGUUCUCAGCAUGUGAACAAGAACUCCGACAACAACACCUGGUGACUUUCUACCUAUUGGCAAUGACUGGGAAGUAAAAUCCAAAGCUCUUUUGCCAUCGAGAUUUUGACUGCUCACCAAAAUGUGGAUAACACACCAUAAGUAACAUAGAGCUUGAGGCAUUGUGAUCUUUGGUUGGUUAUGUAGGUUAUUGCUUUCUUGGCCAAAAUAAAAUCUUCUUAUGGACGUUAGUUUUUAAGUUAGGCUUUGUAGGCUCUUUCGAGUUGUAUCGGAGCUAUGCUCCUGGUUGACCAGUUGUGGACUUGUAUUAGAGUUUAACUCUCGCUCGUCCCAUUGGUAGUUUUAAUAUAUGGGCUCUACGGCCCCUGGAGUAACAUCCAUUUCCAUAAAAUAAAAAUAAAUAAAAAAAAGAAGAAGAAGAAGAAGCCAUGCUCCAGGUAAAGGGAAUUGGAUCUAUUAACGAGGUUAUUUUCUCUUCCUUCCGUCAAACUCUACCUCUCUUGAAUAUUCACUCCCUUCUCAAGUUCUCAUACUUUAAAACUUUGGGUCUAAAUACCUUCUUCUCAUAUUUGCUCCCUUAAUAUAUGACAAUGGCUUCAAAUUUCAUUACUUACAUUCUUCUCACCUAUGUGUGAAUUAAACUUUUGAGCAUGAAAUAAAAGAAAAGAGAAAUCUUGGCCACCCAUUACGAUUUAAUGGCCCAGAUUUGUUUGCAAAUCUUUGUUUUGACCUCCAGUCUCGUAGUAAAAUAAAUUACUUACCGUUACCACAUAAAACUACAGCAUUGCCCUUCCGUAACAGAAUCUAUGAGACGUAUGCGUAUUUUGGCGUUUUGAAGCUCAAGUUGGACAAUGUGGUAACCAGUGCUGAUAAUCAACAAGAACAUUUGAUGAUUUCCAUCUUUCGUUAUAUACUCAAUUUCGUCUUUCAUCUUUCAAGAACAAGUUUAAGAGUACAUUUACGUUCAUGAUUUCCAUGAUGGCCUAUUUUUCAGUGAAGGGAAUGUUAGAGAACCCCGAUGUGGAAAAAGUGUCAUAUGUCAUCUUUCGAUUGGACUGUCGCAGGGGUGACGUGGUGUGAUUAUCGCACAUAAGAUUUUAUGUAAUUUGAUGUUGUGUGUAUACUUUAGCUUGAAUAUUGUUUGUGUUUAGGAUGUCGAUUGUGAAAUGUGGAUUGUUGUCUUAUAGUGUUUCGGUUUGCGAAAUGCCCCAUCGGUAGACGAUUCGGAUUUGGACGGCGGUCAAAGUAGGAGCAUCGGAGGGUGGAGACUUAGUGAGGUGCGAAGAGAAGAGAGAGAGUGAGAAAUGGAGACGAAGGACAAGAAGUGAGAGAAUGUGUUGAAAUGUUUGAUGUGUGUUUAUUUUAUUUUUGGGUUUUUGAAUAAAAGUUGGGAGUUACUAUUUUACCUGUAAUGUGAUCCUUAAUGAGGAGAGCUAACCAUUGCGGUACUAAAUAUUUGAAUGGUUUGAUGGGGGUCGUACUAAAUAUUUGAAUGGUUUUAGGACUCUAUUGGGAUCACAUUUAAGUGAAGUGUAGGUGGAUGUCUCUAAUCGGAAUGGUUUGGAUCAUGUAAAUGCAAGAUGAACGUUAAAAUGAUUACGAGAGACUCAUGUAUCGAUUGAAACAACAUUAUAGAUAAUUAGAAGCCAUUUGUCAUCACGAUUAUUUGCUUUCAUGUCCCUUGACGAUAGUUAAAUUGGUACCUUACGAACAUAAGAACCGUGUUGGAGGGAAAUGAAGCCACUGUCCAAUACAAACUUUGAUGAAUCAAGAGUCGACGACCGAGUUGAUUUCGUAUAGUUACAUGAAAGUAAUUAGACCAAAACGUUUUUAUAGAAUAUUACCGCAAAGACCAAUUUGUACUCGCAAACAUAUUCUCUGUUUCAACUUUGAGAUCUUCACCAGGUACUUUCUCUUGAAUACAACGCUGUUGAUUUUGUUUAAACUCUAAUCAGCAAUUAAAAACUAAUGAUCAAUCAUGACUAUGUCACGGAUCGCAAUACUUCUGUGGUGCAAUAUGCUAUAUCUAAUGAGACCCAACCUGCUGAAUCAACCGUCUGCAUCCACCUAGCAGCUCCUGAACUAGUGGAGAAUCUAUUUUACUUUGUUUAAUGAUGCAGUGAAGUUUACAUUUUUCUUUAGGUACUCCCCUGUACAUGGCUCCUGAACUAGUGCGGGAACAACCUUACAACCACACUGCAGAUUUAUGGUCUCUCGGAGUUAUAUUGUAUGUUGCAUCCCUUCACUUAAACUCUCUGGCCGAAAUUUCCUUCAAUUUCUAUUCAACUGGCUAUGUGUUAAAUUUUUGAUCAACGUUGCGUGUAAUGCAUUCUUGUAUUUCUAUAACUUUUAGAACAGUUUCUAAUCAAUCUGUUUCUUCACUCUGUUUGUUUUUACCUUAUUCUUGCUUAGUCUAUUUGCUCUUCAACAUAUUCUAACUUGGCUCAAGAGGAUUUCUAAUUUAAUCUGUUCCUUNNNNNNNNNNNNNNNNNNNNAUCACAAUAGUUUUACAAUUCAUUUGGCUAUUGUAUUAUAUUCCAUAAUGAAACGUUGAAGAACAGCUAGACUAAAUAGCAAUAAAGUAACAAAAACAAACAAUGUGAAGGAACAGAUUAAAUUAGAAAUCCUCUUGAGCCAAGUUAGAAUAUGUUGAAGAGCAAAUAGACUAAGCAAGAAUAAGGUAAAAACAAACAGAGUGAAGAAACAGAUUGAUUAGAAACUGUUCUAAAAGUUAUAGAAAUACAAGAAUGCAUUACACGCAACGUUGAUCAAAAAUUUAACACAUAGCCAGUUGAAUAGAAAUUGAAGGAAAUUUCGGCCAGAGAGUUUAAGUGAAGGGAUGCAACAUACAAUAUAACUCCGAGAGACCAUAAAUCUGCAGUGUGGUUGUAAGGUUGUUCCCGCACUAGUUCAGGAGCCAUGUACAGGGGAGUACCUAAAGAAAAAUGUAAACUUCACUGCAUCAUUAAACAAAGUAAAAUAGAUUCUCCGAUAUCUAACAGUUGAUCCGGAAUCAUUCUGACCUUUUAUUGAUCGCAAAACAACAGUAUUUGUGGACAUUGCUCGUGCAAACCCAAAGUCACAAAGCUGUAACAAUAAUAGAAUUCACAAGUUAAGUGAUACUGGUAAAUAGACACCCAGACUUAUAAGAAUACUAAUAGUACACAUAUUAACCUUAACAAUAGAACCAGCACCAAUGAGAAUGUUUUGUGGUUUCAUGUCACGGUGGAUGAUGCGGUUUGAAUGGAGAUAAUGCAAUGCUCUCACCUACAAUGUUUGGUAAACAGAAAGUUAUCAAAUCCUAACCGGAAUGGUAUGACAGUUAGAGAUGGGACAUAAACAGGUGACAAGAAAGUACCAAUUGCUUGAACUUGUUCUUCUGGAAGGUGCUUAUAAUCCUCAAGAAUUUCAAAUAGUUCACCCUGCAUAUCAAAGAAAGUCCUUGAUAUUUAAACAUCUGCAGAGUUUCCUACUUUCCACAAUAACAUGCUAGUCUAGAUAAACAAAUACAGUCAAAAUAGGUACUUUAGAUACGGAAGAAAUCAAUACUUGUGCAAACUCUGACAACACAAAACUCUUGUGGGCUUUCAAAGGAAUCAAGCAUUUCAAUGAUAUUUUCAUGCUUCAGCUUCCUUAGAAUCUGCAGAUUUAACAGCAGAUUACAUCAUACAAUAGACAACAAUUAAAACAAAACAAAACAGAAAUGAGCAUUAACCGAAUCAAGGAAGAUGUUCAUAUUAGACCUGAGAAAACAUGAGCCUAGUACCUCAAUUUCUUGUCUUAAAUUGUGGAUAUCCUUGUCACUUUUCCCAUGUUUCAUAAUGAAUUUCAUCGCAACAGUCUGAAAAACAGCCACAAAAACAUGUAAUCAGAGAAAAAAGACCAAAACUAAAUAAAAUUAAGUUUUCAGAAAUGCAGAACAUAAGUACCUGGCCUGUGAACUUGCGUCUUCCCUUGUAUACCUUCCCGAAGGAACCUUCACCUACAAGCUNNNNNNNNNNNNNNNNNNNNAGAAAAUAGAGAGAGGUUUUCGGUUUUUGUGGGUUUCUCCCGCCUAGUUAAGCUUUUUUUUCAUUUUUGAAAGUUAAAAAUUUUCAAAAUGAAUUUGAGAGGACUGUGCCACAGUGUGAUUGCUCGGACCGGACGAAGCGUGUGAGUGAGUUCAAUAUCCUGCAUGUCGUUCGGCUGAAAACGACUCAAAUAGUUAUCGUGUGCACUCAUCAUAGAUGGGACGUUUGUUACUCAUAACCCAAUUACUCAACUGUCUUACAUAGUCUAAUAUCAGAAAUAGCAUUAGCAACCGAGAGGAAGGAGACGCCAAACCCUAAUCGAUGACGAGCAUGAGGCUCCAACCCUCAUCACCGGAAUCCUCACCACCGGGACUGACCCCAGUGAAGAGGUCGAACCCCACAUCGGCUCUGGUCCUAGCAUCCUCACCGACGGACCUGAACCAAGCCAAGAAAACGAAGCCGAACAGCACCAAUCUAUGUUCAGCAUCCCGUUUAGCCGAAUUAUAUUUAACUCUUGAAGAUCGAUAUCUCCCGCCAGAUGAAUUUAGGAAGAAGAGUGUGAUGGGCUUAAUCAAAGGUAUGCCGUUUAUUUUGUUUUUUGUUUUUUUAUUGCUUCUUAGGUAUCAAAAGACAUAUAUUUCAUUAUCCUGACUUUUCUAUGUCUUUCAUUCAAUACCACUACAAAUUAAGCUAUGAAGGAGAAAGAUCCUUAUCCUUGUACUUGGUUAAAACAGAAGCUUCCAGAAACUUUACCAGAGGGAUGUGCAUGGGGUUAUAUUGCCCCUGGGAGUGAAAUCAAAAGUUUUGUUUAUAAGAUUGUUCGUGUCAGAAUUUAGACGCACUAACCGUUACGACUUUUCAACCUUGUACACGCAGGACGCGUUGAAAAGUUGAAGUAUCCACGAGGGACAUUUUGACUCGUCAACGAUGUUAAAAACAUAACAUCGAGCAAAACGUUCAUUUAUGAACAAGGUAGGAGGGUCGAAGCAUUGUGGGAUCAAAGUUUCGACUUUGGCUUCCUCACCUUCCAAUUGGCACUUCUCGAAUGUGAAGUAGCCAAGAAUCAAGGAACAACAGUGUAGCCUAGCUUGCCAUGCCACUACGCCUUGGCAGACAUCCAGGGUUCAACCUAGGACGACGAGGAAGAGAUCACAUUCCAAAACGAUCAACAAGUACAUGAGUCUAUCCUUUAUCAAGAUCAUAUCUCACUUAACAAUAUUGGUGUCAAGAUCUCGUGGUCGGUCUCAUCAUGAAUAAGGACGAGAAUGGCGUGACUAGAGGUGAGGGAAAUCAAAAGUCUUGACACGUGUUAUCAAACCUGACGAACCCAUAUCUAGAAAAGGCUAAAGUAUGUAUGUGUGUCAGAAGAGGCACAUUGCCGUGUCAGGAAGUAAACUCAUGGACAUGCCUCAAGUACCAAACCCAUGCUCUGAAUAGUAAAUCAAAACCACCUCCUCGAGCCUAUAAACACAAAUACACUUACACUCACUCUCUUUAGAGAAAUUUCUCCUACUCUUAUCUAUGUUGUUCUGAUUUUAUCAUCGGAGGUUAAUAGGCAGGCAUCACGCCGAUGUCAAGGCAACCGAUUGUUCAUUGUGAUAGGUCUCUCGCUGCUCAACUCCGUCGACUUCACUGUCCUCAUCGUCCAGCUGAGUAGGCAAACCCCAUGGUCAAGAGAUGAAGGUCCACUCUUAAGCAUUAACUCCACCAAGCUCCACUUCGGAUCUCAACGAAUUCCUCUUUGACAUGUUGACGACAAAAUUUCACAUCAACAAAGAUGUUUUGCACCUAUUGUGGCACGGGCGCAGCUCACAUGAAUGAGGACUGCCCGAACAAGGAUACUCCAGAGGGUGCAGAGUUCAUGAAGCUACAUCUCCCCAACAUCUUUGCUCCCAAGACCAAGUAAUGCAUUGUGUACUGACUUGUGUUUAACCGUCUAAUGUUGGCUGUUUUGUUUUUGUUUGAUGCUUCCGAGCUAGAAUAAGAUAUUUAUUUGCUUCUUAAUUAACCAAAAAUUUUCGCACUGUCGAGCAAGUUUUUCGUGUGUUACAAUUAACCUAGGUGACAUUUUCAUUCUGGCUCCGCUACGUAGUAGAUUAGAGGGCUGCAGAUUUCUCUUAAUCAGCACUGCAACGGAUCAACAAAGAUUUUUUUUCAAACAAGCACUAAUUAAUAAAGAGAGGGCUGCAGAUUACUCUUAAUCAGCAAUGCUACUGAUCAAUUUUUUCGAACAAGCAGUAAUUAAUAUAGAGAGGGCUGCAUAUUUAAAUAGAAAGUUUAUUGAUGGCAGUACAUUACCCAACAGUCGGGUGUUUGAAGAAGUAAAAUAGAAUCAGAAGCUCGAUAUAAUCCAGUUUUCAUAGACUAAGAGCGGCCAGCCAUAAGAUCAUAUAAAAGAAACUGCAGGAUUUGAAAACUUAUAAAGGAACGGAUUCUACAAGAGUAGGAAUUAUAAAAUCCUUGAGUAUACUCGAAUGAUGAGUAGUGUAACUAUCUUCAUACUUGUAUGCAACAUCCAUGGCACAAGCAAAGUUAAGAACUCGAGUUAGUAGCGGCCUCGGAAGAGCAUUAGGAAGGAAGAACGAUUCGUUUAUGUCCUUCCAUGCGUCACUCAGUCUUCUACGCAAUUCAGUCAUUGCUUCUUCUUCUGUGGCACCAUGUUCUUUCAAGUAGCACUCCACAGAUGAGAUAUCAGUUCCUCUCUCUAGCUCAAACUACAAAGACAAUGUGAGACAUGAUCAUCUUGGUUCAAUAUUUGCUAUGUAGAAAUAGGUAUAUGGUAUGUACCUUGUAGUCCGCUAUGUCAUCCAUAAGUCGGCAAACUACUUCAGCUCCUUUUACAGCCCUGGGAUAAGUGGCCAACCAAUCGAAGGAGUCUUGCGUUGCAAUAUCUCCCAUUCCAACAAAGGCUGUUGUUAUUAGCAUAUGGUAGGCCGUGCUCGGUAGUGCUAGGUCCAUGUAUUCAUCCAACGUUGGUAUGUGUUUCUGUUGCAACAAUUUUGCUUCAUGGAAGUAAUAUGCUGCUUGCCUUUUCAUCUAUAUAAGAGACAUAUGCAGCCGAUUAACAUUUGUUACUUGCUAAGGAAAUUAAGUCGUGUGUUACUUGCACUACGUAUAUAGAAAGGUACUAGGUAAAUGGGGCUUACAGCUUCUAUGGCGUAGUGGAUUCGAUACAAGUUUCCCUCCUUUGCGAGCUCUUCUUCAAUUUUCGAUGUAGAUUUCUAACAUUGCCUUAUAAAAAACUUUCAUAUAAUCUGGCAAUGGAUCUAUGGCACAGAUAUCCCACCUAGUUAAUCAAUUAGUUGAGAAGUUAGCCUUGCAUUCCUUCUUUGGUUGAAAUCACACAGUUUUCUCUAAUUUUAAAUAAUAGAAUUACCUCUGAAUAGCUUCAGUGAAGAGCUCUAGUUCUUCGAGUGUGCCCUGGGUAUCAUAAAUGUCAUCGAUAAUAGAUAAUAUUGCAGUGACUUUGCAGGAUGUCCUCCUAGCAAAGGAAAAUUGUGGUUCGAAGUACACUGACAAAACCCAGAUGAAGUAAACUUCGGUAAUUCUGUCUCUUACAAAUGGUAGCUUGUUUUUCACGUCCAAGUUCUUCCACCACCUACGAUCAAAUACAAAACAAUUUAAUUGGUAGAACUAUAAACCCUAGAGUGUUUUUUUAGCAAGUGAAAUCAACACUGUUUUUCUUUCUUGGUUAGUUAGUGACUAGGUGAACAUAAACAUACAAGAGGAUUUAUUCUAUUUUGAUAGAUAUUCACGUAGUUUGAUAGUUAACCUUGUUAUUUCACAUAGCUCCUUCUGAUGGAGUUGUUGCACUAAGUUGAAGUCCAACUUUGCAAGAGUUCGGAGAGUCUCGUUAUGUGAAUCGCAGUCCUGGUAGAUCGACAAGUAAUGUCUUGCUUCCACCCUCGCCACGCCUGUUCGAAGUGGCUGAUUCAAGGAAUGGGAUACUAGAUUCGAAAGUGGAGGGCUUAAACUGUGUUUGAUCGACUCAAGAUGAGUGGUGGUGAAGGCUAGUGCCUCUUCGAGUAUCUCUUCUCCGUGUACCCUAAGAUGGGUGGCUUCGUACAAGCUUAAUAGUCCUGAUACAUCACUCUGAAGAGAUGCCUUAAAUGUCUGAUGAUUUCCAUCCUUGAACUUGUUGAAUAUAUCUGCAUCAGUAGGCAAUUUCUUAGACGAGCAUCUAUAUAUUAUAUUAUCGAUAUAUAAACAAAUAGAGACAUAGUGAUGGAAGAAUUUCAUGUCUUGUUUGUUAUUAGUAUAGAAAAUUAGAAAUUGAAAAAGAGUUUACAAAAUCAUGACGAAGACAAUAGCAUUCGUAGUUCAUAAUGUAUUUUUCUUCUUCUUAAUUUAAUAAUUUGAAAGCGAGGCGAUCAGAAUUGACACACAAAUUAGCAUGCAACUUACCACAUGAAAUGUUAUAACCAUGUUGUCUAAGCAAUCGAAAACGCAGAGCAGUAGUGUAAAGGUCAUCAUCAUCAGUACCACAAGAGUAGUUGUGGUGAAUUUGUUUCAAAAUCUCAUCAAUCUCAUUUUCAAAAUGAUAGGCCAUGCCUAAACGUUGAAGGUCAUUAACCAAGUCUAUUUGUUGCAAACCAGAUACAUUAGCGGGAUCCUUUAGAAUUCUCUUCACCUCUUCUUUCAAUUCUUGAACGUGUUGCUCCAGUUUAAUGUCAACUUCCUACACAUGCAAAUUGAAGAUCAGAAAUACCGUAUGAUUUAGUAUUUUACGGGUUGUACGUAAAAUCUGUAUAUACAUGUGUGUGUGGACGUUCCCAUAGAUAAAUAUAUAUAUAUAUUUUUCGCCAUGCAUGUUAGGGGAUCAAAAGAACAGAAAUAUACAUAUAGCUUACAUGGUACUGCAAUGAUGCAUUUCAAUAAAAUCAAAUUAUGCCCAACGUCUGAAGCUUUAUAGUUAAAAUAUAAGUAUUUAUCAACGGAAAAUAUAAAAUCCUACCGUGGUAGAAUAAGAGAGAAAAUGAUCGUUCCAAAUGCAUGGGGCAUACUCAUAAUAAGCUAGAGGUAGCUUAACAUCAACACCAGUCUCUGGCUCGUGAACUUGAGAUGCUAAAACUAGGGGAGACAUAGUUCAGUAAUGCAGGAGAAAACUUUCUGUAUGAGUAAGUUAAUAAGUCGAUGAAGAACUCAAUUAUGCUCUGCACUAUUUAUAAUGGAAUAGAAAAGACUUAGGCGCGCAAAUUCUCCACCCAGUCGUCAGCUGGUAACAUAUUUCAACUACAAGAUUUUUCAACGUUAUUGAACAUAAUGUUUUGACUCAUUCAAAACUGUACAUAGAUAUUUUAUAUUCUAAACGUUUCUCUCGUCAUGGACUUUUCUCUCAGCUAUUUCAUAUGUCCCGGAUUUCCCAAUGCUGUACCAUCAAUAAGAAGCGGACACGUGGAAAUCCGUUAAACAAAAUUCAACAGAACUCUAACUGUGUUAGAGUUUACUUUUAAUUUUUAAGAUUUAGUAAAAGGAAAAUAACAAAAUAUCUCCCGGUCUCAAUCGUCUUUUCUUCUUUCUUCUCCAGAUCUGAGAUGGAAUCCAAGGUUAAGCAGACAAGUUCUCUUUCCAGAUGAUCAAGUAAAACAUAGUCAUGGCAAGUGGGAAAUUAUACAUACGAUCCAAGGAGACGACAAUACUUGGUGGCUAUUUCCAGAUUUUCUAGCACUUGCUGUAUUCUUAAGGAUGAGGCUUGAAUUCUCAAAUGAAGCAUCGACCGCCUCUCUAUCUUUCUUUACCUCUUUUCAAACACCACAUAGUCAAUUAGUUCACACCCUUGGAUCACAACCAGCUCACCCACAAGUCAAUUUUAGCUCACCCAAAAUUUCCAUCGAAUUCGUCCUCUAUUGACUGCAAUUUUAAUGCUUUUACUUAUCAAUUGUGUUUGCUAAUCAUUACCAAAAACAGAAUUCCACACCAAGCACAGGUUUGUUUGUCUUUGAUCUGAUUCGAUUUCUUGUUUGAAGAAAGCAGAAGGAAGAAGAAACGGCGGAGGAGCUGGGUUUUUUUUUUUUUGCAAACUUAAACUGGAAUUUUUACUUUUCUUUCAGUAAAGAAUUAAAUAUAAUCAAUAUUUAACAGAGUUAAAGCUCUGUUAAGUUUUCUUAAGUGGAAUUCCACGUGUCAGACACUUAUUAAUGGCACAGGUUUGGUACAGGUGAUUUCCUCCCUGUACGUAGAUAGAAAUAUGCUAAACUUUUCUUCUUCUUCUUUUUUUUUUUUUGUAUACAGCUAAACUUUUCUCUGUAGCCUCUCGUCAUGGACUUUUCGGCGGGAGACUUGGACUUAUAUAUAUAUAUAUUUUUUUUGGUCUCAUUCAAAACUGUUAUGGAUAAAAAUUCUAAGCGCCUCUCUUUAUCGACUUUCGGGAUGUUUACUAAUCUUAAUCUUGAAUGAGACUGUGAAGAAAUCGGAGAAAAAAUGGAGUAGAGAAGGAAUAAAGAAAUAAGGAAUCAGGACUAACCUUGUUUACCUUCCCGAAUGAACCUUCACCUACAAGCUCAAUUACAAUCGACACCCAUCCUUCACAGCUGUAUGUACAACCAUUCCCAAAAAAAAAAAAAAAAAAAACAAAAAAAAAAGAAAGAAGCUGUAUGUACACCUCUCCUUUACAGUCCUGCAAGUUAUACAUCACAGUAUCACUUACGUUUUAUGCUAAGCAUGUUGUUUAAUUUACUCUAAACUGGUAUACCCAAAACCAUGACAUUUUCAGUACUCUCAAACCUAAUAGCAUGAACUGAAGCCUGUUAUAACUUCAUUUUCAAUACCCAAAUUAUUGUUUUAAUUUAAUAAAGUCGGUAUAUAUGUCCAAAUUUACUUAAUUAUUGUCAGAACUGGCCACAAUAACAGAUAAAAGCUCCCUCACUUGAAGAAUGAAAUCUUGUUUAUGGAUAAUGAUAUGAAUCAACUUCAUCAAUCAAAUACUAAUUAGUUCUGAUUGUGAAACUCAUACCUCAAACCCGUCCAAUGCACGUCUGUUUGGCAAAAGCCGCAUAACCUAAUUAAGUUAUGAUUUGAUUAUGUUUCUGGUGCCAUUUAAUUUGGUGCGGCAGCUGUCACUCUCAAAACCCUAAUUAGGCAGUGCCAUAACAAUAGUGCUGCCUUCAUGAUUUAGAUUCCUCGAAGAAGUAUUAACCUAAGGGAGUGUAUGAUUGCCAGUAUUUUUCUUAUAAUUUCCGAUCGAAUACAUAGGUAUCUAACUAGCAUUCUCGAUUGCUUCAUCUAAGCACUCGAUAACUGCAAUGAAACGAACAAAGUAAGCCAUAAUUACAAUGUCGAGCACCCUCUAUAUGUCAGUUGUAAUACAUGCAUGCAUAUAUCCCAACACACUAGCUUGUAACAUUCCUUAAAGUAAUCUGUAAGAUUCUUCGGACAUCAAAUAGAUCCAACGCAGCCGGUCGAUGGUCACAAGUGUUCUGCUGCGUACUAGCCAAUGUGCUAGUGUAAAUGAAGAAAGAAAUGCAUGAGUAAUCUAGUCUGUAGGAUUCUUCGGACAAAAUGAUCCAUUGCAGCCGAUCGAUGCUCACAAGUGUUCUACUGCGUGCUAGCCAAUUAGUUAAGAGAGGUCGUUACUUAAUGCACAAAUGGUUGUCACAAUUCUGUGCAUUAUAUUAGGUCAGCAUGAACUAGCUAUAUAAGCUCAUGUCCAGCUGUGAUUUCAGUAACUUGUCCGAAUAGGAAAUUAGUUCCUGCUAGAAAUUAGUUACAGAUCCUUUUCUCUCUACCUCUUUCUUCUUCAAUCUAAGCAUUAACAAUGUAUAUAUAGCUAAUUAAGGGACAGAAACUAUCCACCGAUCGAUCUUAGUGAGUGUUUCAUUUAGGACCAAUCGAUAAUAGAACUUAGAUUUGUUUCUUCAGAUCUUAGAACGGUGGGGCGUGGUUGUCUCUCCCACAGAGAUAGGAGUCAUGUGGACUAAGACUACCAUGCAAUAACUCUUAGAGGUUUGGGAGCACCGAUCUUCAUUUUUCAUAUCACAAUUUGAUUAAUUAGUAGAGAUUCUUGCCCACAUUGAUGAGCUAGUUUGGCAACUUUGAGCUACAAAGGAUGAGUUGUAACCUAGUGGAUGAGAAAAACAUGUACCCAAAACUUCUCAUUCGCAAGAAAAAGGCAUCCAUUUUGUGGAAUGACAGAAGAAACAACGAAAAAAUGUGAUUGGAGAUGUUUUUCUUGUAUAAUUUUGCUACGAAAUUUUUUCCCAAUUCCAUACAAGGGGGGAGGUUCAACUACCACCUACCCUUUUCCUCUUGGCCAACAAACCAUUUUAAUGAACAAUCAAUAUAACAUUUAACUCAGCGCUAUCUCUGUUGGUAACUUGCACUGUCAACCCUAGCCUCUCUUUCACUCACUGUUUUUAUUUUUAGAGAUCUUCAACUCUCCCACACGCUUCCAUUCAAACGUAACAUGUUAUAGUGUUGAGGAGGAGCUAGGGGAGGGUAGAGUGAACAUGCAACUACAGUCAAACUCAUUCACUAACCAUGAUUUACCAAUCGAAAUUUGGAAACAAAAUUACUCAACUAAUAAUGAUAUGCAAACUCAACCAUACCUAAAUUGCAUAAAAACUGCUAGCACAGUAAAAUCAAACUAGUUUUGCUUUAAUCUUCCAACAAAAUUUACCAAAUACAACGAUUCGCACAGGAAUCACAAUCAAAUUUUUACCAAAUCUAAUCAAAACUUCUAGAUCCUGAAAUAUGAAACCAAAACCGAAACCCUAACCUUCGUACCCGUUGCCAUAACCCAACCCCAAACCAAAAAAAUUGACAUCAGAUCUGGUCCUGGCAUCCUCACCGACGGACCCGAACCAAGCCAAGAAGGCGAAGCCGGACAGCAUCGAUCUAUGUUCAGCAUCCCGUUUAGCCAAAUUAUAUUUGUCUCCCGAAGAUCGAUAUCUCUCUCCAGACGAAUUUAUGGACAAGAGUGUGAUGGGCUUAAUCAAAGGUAUAUAUUGUUCAUUUUGUUUUUUGUUUUUUGAUUGCUUGUGAGGUAUCUGCAAGUUAAUUACGAGGAAUCAGUACAAUACAAAUAGUGCUUUAUUUGUUUGAAUUAAUGAAUGAAUUGAAGAACAUAGAAUAGUAAAAAAUAAUAAUAAUAAUAAUGACAUCGAUCAAGUUUGAUCAUUUUGCUAUAUGAUUAUUAUUCGGAGUUAGGGUUUAAUUAUGUGAUCUGUAUCAUAUUUGUGUCUUAAGAUUCAUUGAUCACCAACACCACUAGUUUGAUUAGGAUCAUGCCGCCGAUCUAACUCUGAUGUUUCUGAUUGAAUUCAUUUCAAUUGAUUUGCUCCUCAUAAGACAUACAUUUUGUUAGUAUACAUAAUUGUAUAUUGUCAUUCCUAUACAAAACAAAGAAACGUGAAUGAUUUAAUGAAUAUUGGUUUUAAUGUUUACAGCUAAGUGUUGCUUGAGAAAGAAUGCAUGGGAGGAAUAUGGAGUUCUAUUAUGAUUUGGAGUUAAUUCCUUUUUAUUCUGAUUUGAUCAUUAUUAGAGUUAAUCUCUUUAUAGUCAUCUUGGUCUAUCUUUACGUGGUAAAGAAAUCCUAAUGCAUUAAAAGAUUAUUUCAUUGAUAUGAUAUGUUGAUUACAAGAUUCUCAAUUAUCUGAUUUGUGUGCACUUGAAAGAAAAAAAACCUAAUGUGAUUAGGUUAUAUAUAUCUGAUUAUUAUUUGAUUUGAGAUAUCACAUAUAUCUGAUAUUAUUAUGUCUUUGUAUGGUAAUAUAAUAAGUACUUACCUAUUGAAAAUCAAUAUGGUUAAAGACGUGAAUAAGGAGUAGAAGUUCUUCAUCUAUAAAAGAAGACACAGCUAUUGGAAGGAUACCUUUUGAACACACACUGUGACACUGGACAUAUACCUAAACACAACCUCUAUGUAGUCAUGUUUGAUCAAAGCCAAAGCCAUAUAACUCAGUUGUGAGAAUGUUAAUUGAUCGAUGAGAACUGAGACUCAGCUGUGGUGAAUUCUUGUGUUUCGGCAGCUGAACUUUUUGAUUACUCGUCAUCGAUCAGUCUGUAUCUUCUCAGCAGCGACUCCCCAAGAGUCUAUUCUAGUCUAGUUAGCUCUAAAAUUGGAAAUUUGAACGAACAUGAAAUUUUCAAAGUUCAGCAAGUUCAGCCCCUCCAUUGAAAAUUUGAAAUUGAUCGACCUUGUAAAAUGGCUUAAAUUUCUGCAGAAGACUGUAACAAAAAUAAAAUAAAAAUUGGUAGGAGGAAUUAGGGAUAACGGGUCAUCGAUACAACAUAAAGACAACUGCUACAAAGGGUUGUGUUUCUACUGCCCAGUUCAUACAGGAAAACUGAACAUGGCAUGAGACUGAGUACGCAUUACAUUUACAGCAGUACAGUAAUAUAAUAUAAGAAGGCCUUCAGGUGCCUAAUCUUGACGGUAGCAACACCCCAGUAGACCGAGCUUAAAUUUGGUGACCAUGUUGCUCCAGUGUGUUCAAGGGCCGUCUUGUUAUGCUGAUGAAUGAAAAGGAGAAUUCAGAAUCGAAUUGUAUGAAACCAAAGAAGUAAAAAGCAAUACCAGUAGGCACAUACAGCGAGCGCUUGGAGACAGAGAAAAAGAGAUUUACUGCUUAAAACCCUAACCUGCUAAGAUUUCUCGCAUCAGAGGUUCACUGUAUUUUUCCACAUCGACAUGGAUAAACUUCUUUCCUAAGAGAUAUUGAACUCUCUUGAAGCACCACUAUGGAUACUAUGUCUUCGAUUCUGGAUCUAUCUUAGGGACAAGUUGUUGUGUCAUCUCAGUGAAAAUUGUGUUGACAACUUUCGGAGACCGACAGAAGACCCGAUAGUAAUUAUAUCCCUUCUUUGAAAGUUGAAACUAUCAUAGAAGUGCAAAUGACAUCCUAGCUCCCUGUAGUAUAAAAGUUAUAACCAGCUUCAGAUAAUUAAAUUAUUUAAAUAGGAUAAUGAGAGUACCUAGAAGUCAUUUGCUGUUCAAAUUGAGUAAGUGGUCAUGCGGCUAGAGAUGUGAUCCUCACAAGAAGAAGGCAAUUUGAGUAAACCAUAGGGAACAUCAAAUGAAGAAUACACGGUCCACUUCCAUGUGACAACUCAAAAUUAAAACCUUCUUCAUUAGGGAAAUAGUACACUGAAAAAACAAAAAAUUGAUUAAAAUUUAAUAUACAGAAAGUAUUCUAGAUUUUUUGGCCAAGAACAAAAACAAUACUAAUUUAUAUACUAAUUUAGACAAUAUUCGGUAAUAUUUGACAUAAGAACGAAGGAGAGCCCUUUUAAUGAGAACCCUUAAGAACGAAGUCCUCAACUUAUGGGUUCUCACGAUAAUAGCUCCCGUAUACACAAAAUGCUUGGUAAUAUUUAUUUUAUGAUGUGUUUGGAUGCAAGUGAAUUUCCGGGAAUUUAAUCAAAAAUAAAGAAUUCCCAAUUUCUUUGGACUGUUUCCCCUGUUUGGAUUCUUAUCCCGUGGAAUUAACAAUUUCAACGAGAAAAUAAUCGAGGAAUUUAAAAGCUUAAAUCCUGACUUAAAUUCCUCACAAAAUAGGUGUCAUUUGUUAAUUCCUUUGACUGAGUUUAGUCUAAAUACAAAUUCUUGUCAUUUUAAAACUUUACAUCAUGAAAUCUAAACAACGGAAUUCUCAAUUAAUGAAAUUUAAAUUCAUGAAAUUAUAAUUCCUAUAAUUUUAAAAUUUCUAUAAAAAUUGAAAUUAAUUUAUUCAAACAUUAAAGUAUAAAUGAACAUCGGCUCAAAGCCCAUAUUUUUAAGUAAGGUACGAGAAUUGAGAAAGAUGGAAAUGAACAUUCGCUCAAAGCCCAUAUUCUAUUUUAGGCUGAACACCCAAGUUUAAAUCAUGACACGCCAUAACCUCAUCAUCUAUAUAUAUACCUAUUGAAGGAGACGCCAAACUCUAAUCGAAGCCAUGCUAGCCAUGACGACCAUGAGGCUCCAACCCUCGUCACCGGAACUGAUACCCACAUCCUCACCACCGGGACUGACCCCAGCGAAGAGGCCGAACCCCACAUCGCAUCUGGUCCUGGCAUCCUCACCGACGUCGGACCCGAACCAAGCCAAGAAGGCGAAGCCGGACAACACCGAUCUAUGUUCAGCAUCCCGUUUAGCCAAAUUAUUUUUGACUCCCGAAAAUCGAUGUCUCCCGCCAGACGAAUUUAGGAAGAAGUGUGUGAUGGGCUUAAUUAAAGGUAUAUGCUGUUUAUUUUGUUUUUUGUUUUUUGAUUGCUUGUUAAUUACGAGGAAUCAGUACAAUACAAAUAGUGCUUUAUUUGUUUGAAUUAAUGAAUGAAUUGAAGAACAUAGAAUAGUAAAAAAUAAUAAUAAUAAUGACAUCGAUCAAGUUUGAUCAUUUUGCUAUAUCUACUACUAUAAAGCCAGCCCUAAAAAGCUUCACUAAAUUGUGAACUUCCAUAAUUACCCUUAAUGAAUUAAUUAACACAUAUAAAAAUCAAGGGUUGUUAUAGUAAAAGCAAAAUAAAAAUCAAAACAAAUUAAAUAAAUAAAUAAUCAUAAAAACUACCGAUUAGUAGCUAGGUCAAAUAACUGUAUAAUAUGGUAAACUUAAUUAACCACUCACGAUUAUCUUUAGUUGAUCGUGAUUAUGAUUUCGUGCAAAUAUGCACGGGUAAAAGGCUAGUGAUUAUUAUUCAGAGUUAGGGUUUAAUUAUGUGAUCUGUAUCAUAUUUGUGUAUUAAGAUUCAUUGAUCACCAACACCACUAGUUUGAUUAAGAUCAUGCCGCCGAUCUAACUCUGAUGUUGUUGAUUGAAUUCAUUUCAAUUGAUUUGCUCCUCAUUGAGUGUCUAUCAUAAAACAUACAUUUCAUUAUCCUGACUUUUCUAUGUCUUUCAUUCAAUACCACUGGGGUGCAAAGCUUUGAAGGAGAACGAUCCUGAUCCUUAUACGGGGUUAGCAAAGAAGCUUCCAGAAACUUUACCAGAGGGAUAUGCAUGGGGUUAUGACAACCCUGGGAGUGGAAUUAGAACUUUUAUUUAUAAGAUGUUUUACACCUAUUGUAGCGGAGCUCACAUGAAUGAGGACUGCCCGAAGAAGGGUACUCCAGAGGCUGCAGAGUUCUUGAAGCAACAUCUCCCCGUCAUCUUUGCGGAUGAGACAAAGCCCAAGAUCCCCAAGUAAUGCAUUGUGUACUGACUUGUGUUUAACCGACUCUACUUUACUUAUUUCCCUAUAUGAAUGUAUG
rnacentral:lncRNA from 1 species